UACGGAGGAUCCGAGCGUUAUCCGGAUUUAUUGGGUUUAAAGGGUGCGUAGGCGGUUUAUUAAGUCAGUGGUGAAAGGUUAAAGCUCAACUUUGACAUUGCCAUUGAUACUGAUAGGCUAGAGUACAGAUGAGGUCGGCGGAAUGUGUCAAGUAGCGGUGAAAUGCAUAGAUAUGACACAGAACACCAAUUGCGAAGGCAGCUGACUAAAGUGUAACUGACGCUGAGGCACGAAAGCGUGGGGAUCGAACAGGAUUAGAUACCCUGGUAGUCCACGCCCUAAACGAUGAUAACUCGAUGUUAGCGAUAUACCGUUAGCGUCAAAGCGAAAGCGUUAAGUUAUCCACCUGGGGAGUACGGUCGCAAGAUUGAAACUCAAAGGAAUUGACGGGGGCCCGCACAAGCGGAGGAGCAUGUGGUUUAAUUCGAUGAUACGCGAGGAACCUUACCUGGGCUUAAAUGUGAGACGACCGCUGGUGAAAGCCGGCUUUCCGCAAGGACGACUUACAAGGUGCUGCAUGGUUGUCGUCAGCUCGUGCCGUGAGGUGUCGGGUUAAGUCCCAUAACGAGCGCAACCCUUAUGAUUAGUUGCUAACAGGUCAAGCUGAGGACUCUAGUCAGACUGCCACCGUAAGGUGUGAGGAAGGUGGGGAUGACGUCAAAUCAGCACGGCCCUUAUGUCCAGGGCUACACACGUGUUACAAUGGCCGAUACAGAGGGCAGCUACCCCGCGAGGGGCCGCUAAUCCGGAAAAGUCGGUCUCAGUUCGGAUCGGAGUCUGCAACCCGACUCCGUGAAGCUGGAUUCGC
rnacentral:rRNA from 1 species